ensembl:lncRNA
AGUCCUGCCCCGUCUUUAUGGCAGAUGAUGAGAUGGGGCGGCAGUGAAAGCCCCUCUGACGCAGACUGGAGAUCGUUACCCAGGUUCCCCAGCGGUGCUGGUAGCCUACUUUGCGCAAUACAGGUCAAUAAAGACAGAUUGGCCCAAAGCUUUCAUGAUGGAAACGGGCCCUGAGAUUCAAAAAUGUGUUAGGAAACCUCUUCCUGUCAGCUGAUGGCAUGAUGCUUAUGAACAGAUGGAGCCAUCUGAACCAACAA